rnacentral:rRNA from 1 species
AUUGAACGCUGGCGGCAGGCCUAACACAUGCAAGUCGAAUGGUAACAGGAAACAGCUUGCUGUUUCGCUGACGAGUGGCGGACGGGUGAGUAAUGUCUGGGAAACUGCCUGAUGGAGGGGGAUAACUACUGGAAACGGUAGCUAAUACCGCAUAACGUCGCAAGACCAAAGAGGGGGACCUUCGGGCCUCUUGCCAUCAGAUGUGCCCAGAUGGGAUUAGCUAGUAGGUGGGGUAACGGCUCACCUAGGCGACGAUCCCUAGCUGGUCUGAGAGGAUGACCAGCCACACUGGAACUGAGACACGGUCCAGACUCCUACGGGAGGCAGCAGUGGGGAAUUUUGCACAAUGGGCGCAAGCCUGAUGCAGCCAUGCCGCGUGUAUGAAGAAGGCCUUCGGGUUGUAAAGUACUUUCAGCGGGGAGGAAGGGAGUAAAGUUAAUACCUUUGCUCAUUGACGUUACCCGCAGAAGAAGCACCGGCUAACUCCGUG